UCCAGUUGAUCCUGCUGGAGGUCACUGCUAUCUGGUUGGGAAUUAGGUAUGCAAGUCAGGGAACUAGGCUGAUAGUUCCCGGCGUACGGCUCAGUAACACGUAGACAACCUGCCCUCAGGAAGUGGAUAACCUCGGGAAACUGAGGACAAUACACUAUAGAAAAUAGGUACUGGAAUGUCCUAUUUUCCAAAGGAACUAAGACUCAUGCUGUUUUAGUUUGCCUGAGGAUGGGUCUGCGGCCUAUCAGGCAGUUGGUGGGGUAACGGCCCACCAAACCUCAGACGGGUACGGGCCAUGAGAGUGGGAGCCCGGAGAAGGGCACUGAGACAAGGGCCCUGGCCCUACGGGGUGCAGCAAUCGCGAAAAUUUCCCAAUGCGCGCAAGCGUGAGGAAGCCAGCCAGAGUGCCUUACCAUUGGUAAGGCUUUUUUGAGAGUGUAAACAGCUCUCAGAAUAAGGGGUGGGCAAUACCGGUGCCAGCAGCCGCGGUAAUCCCGGAGCCCCGAGUGGUGACCAUGUUUAUUGGGCCUAAAGCGUCCGUAGCCGGACUGGAAAGUCUUUGGUGAAAUCCUUCCUCAUAAGGGAAGGGCGUGCUGAAGAUACUAUUAGUCUAGGAACCGGGAGGGGGUGGAAGUAUUUCUGGGGUAAGGGUUAAAUCUUAUAAUCCCAGAAAGACUACCGGUGGCGAAGGCGUCCACCUGGAACGGGUUCGACGGUGAGGGACGAAAGCCAAGGUAGCGAACCGGAUUAGAUACCCGGGUAGUCUUGGCCGUAAACGCUGCCCACUAGGUGUUGCAUGUUCUUCGUGAGCAUGCAGUGCCGUAGCGAAGGCGUUAAGUGGGCCGCCUGGGGAGUACGAUCGCAAGGUUGAAACUUAAAGGAAUUGGCGGGGGAGCACAACAAGGGGUGAAGCUUGCGGUUCAAUUGGAUUCAACCCCGGGAACCUCACCAGGGGCGACAGCAGUAUGAAGGCCAGUCUGAAGGGCUUGCCGGACGCGCUGAGCGGAGGUGCAUGGCCAUCGUCAGCUCGUGCCGUGAGGUGUCCUCUUAAGUGAGGCAACGAGCGAGACCCUCAUUUCCUGUUGCUACCCAUUCCUUCGGGGAUGGAGCACUCUGGAAAGACUGCCUGCGUAAGCAGGAGGAAGGUGAGGGCUACGAUAGGUCAGUAUGCCCCUAAUCCCCUGGGCUACACGCGAGCUGCAAUGGUCAGGACAAAGGGACGCAACCCCGAAAGGGGAAGCAAAUCCCCCAAACCUGAUCUUAGUUCGGAUCGAGGGCUGCAACUCGCCCUCGUGAAGGUGGAAUCCCUAGUAACCGCAAAUCAAAAAUUUGCGGUGAAUGAGUCCCUGCUCCUUGCACACACCGCCCAUCAAGCCACCCGAAUUUGGUUGGGAUGAGGCUUUAUCAGUGGUAGAGUCGAAUCUUGGCUAGGUAAGGGGGGUUAAGUUGACACAAGGUA
rnacentral:rRNA from 1 species